GGGGGUAUAGCUCAGUGGUAGAGCGUCCGCUUUGCAUGCGGAAAGUCAGGGGUUCAAACCCCCUUACCUCCA
rfam:Bursaphelenchus xylophilus, Ka4C1 (inbred line), WGS project CADV01000000 data, contig: scaffold01144.26